rnacentral:rRNA from 1 species
UACAGAGGUCCCAAGCGUUACUGAGAAUCACUGGGCUUAAAGGGUGCGUAGGUGGUCCGUUAAGUUCGUUGUGAAAUCCCUGGGCUCAACCCAGGAACUGCUUCGAAUACUGGCGGACUUGAGGCCGGUAGGGGUCACUGGAACUGACGGUGGAGCGGUGAAAUGCGUAGAUAUCGUCAGGAACGCCGGUGGUGAAGACGGGUGACUUGGCCGGUUCUGACACUGAGGCACGAAAGCGUGGGGAGCGAACGGG